GCGAACAAUACAGUCAGGAUGGCUAAAUGUGACCCCAAGAAACCAAGGGGCAAGCUGUCUGCUUACGCCUUCGUUGUGCAGACUUGCAGAGAAGAACAUAAGAAGAAAAAUCCAGAAGUCCCUGUCAAUUUUGCAGAAUUUUCCAAGAAGUGGUCUGAGAGGUGGAAGACAAUGUCUGGGAAAGAGAAAUCUAAAUUUGAUGAAAUGGCAAAGGCAGAUGAAGUACGCUAUGAUCGGAAAAUGAAGGACUAUGGACCAGCUAAGGGAGGCAAGAAGAAAAAGGACCCUAAUGCCCCCAAAGACCACCAUCUGGAUUCUUCUUGUUCUGUUCAGAAUUCCGCCCCAAGAUCAAGUCCACAAAUCCUGGUAUCUCCAUUGGAGAUGUGGCAAAAAAUCUGGGUGAGAUGUGGAAUAACUUAAGUGAAAGUGAAAAGCAGCCAUACAUCACUAAGGCUGCAAAGCUAAAGGAGAAAUACGAGAUGGAUGUUGCUGACUAUAAGUCUAAAGGAAAGUUUGAUGGCACAAAGGGUCCUGCUAAAGUUGCCCGGAAAAAAGUGGAAGAGGAAGAGGAAGAAGAGGAGGAAGAAGAAGAAGAGGAGGAGGAGGAUGAAUAA